UCUGCCAAAUCUUCUCUUGAACA
rnacentral:siRNA from 1 species